rnacentral:rRNA from 1 species
UACGAAGGGGGCUAGCGUUGCUCGGAAUCACUGGGCGUAAAGGGUGCGUAGGCGGGUCUUUAAGUCAGGGGUGAAAUCCUGGAGCUCAACUCCAGAACUGCCUAUGAUACUGAGGAUCUUGAGUACGGGAGAGGUGAGUGGAACUGCGAGUGUAGAGGUGAAAUUCGUAGAUAUUCGCAAGAACACCAGUGGCGAAGGCGGCUCACUGGCCCGUUACUGACGCUGAGGCACGAAAGCGUGGGGAGCAAACAGG